rnacentral:rRNA from 1 species
GAUGAACGCUGGCGGCGUGCCUAAUACAUGCAAGUCGAGCGAACAGACGAGGAGCUUGCUCCUCUGACGUUAGCGGCGGACGGGUGAGUAACACGUGGAUAAACUACCUAUAAGACUGGGAUAACUUCGGGAAACCGGAGCUAAUACCGGAUAAUAUAUUGAACCGCAUGGUUCAAUAGUGAAAGACGGUUUUGCUGUCACUUAUAGAUGGAUCCGCGCCGCAUUAGCUAGUUGGUAAGGUAACGGCUUACCAAGGCAACGAUGCGUAGCCGACCUGAGAGGGUGAUCGGCCACACUGGAACUGAGACACGGUCCAGACUCCUACGGGAGGCAGCAGUAGGGAAUCUUCCGCAAUGGGCGAAAGCUUGACGGAGCAACGCCGCGUGAGUGAUGAAGGUCUUCGGAUCGUAAAACUCUGUUAUUAGGGAAGAACAAAUGUGUAAGUAACUAUGCACGUCCUGACGGUACCUAAUCAGAAAGCCACGGCUAACUACGUG